rnacentral:rRNA from 1 species
AGCGAACGCUGGCGGCAGGCCUAACGCAUGCAAGUCGAACGAAGUCUUCGGACUUAGUGGCGGACGGGUGAGUAACACGUGGGAACGUGCCUUUAGGUUCGGAAUAACUCAGGGAAACUUGUGCUAAUACCGAAUGUGCCCUUCGGGGGAAAGAUUUAUCGCCUUUAGAGCGGCCCGCGUCUGAUUAGCUAGUUGGUGAGGUAAUGGCUCACCAAGGCGACGAUCAGUAGCUGGUCUGAGAGGAUGACCAGCCACAUUGGGACGGAGACUCGGCCCAAACUCCUACGGGAGGCAGCAGUGGGGAAUCUUGCGCAAUGGGCGAAAGCCUGACGCAGCCAUGCCGCGUGGAUGAUGAAGGUCUUAGGAUUGUAAAAUCCUUUCACCGGUGAAGAUAAUGACUGUAGCCGGAGAAGAAGCCCCGGCUAACUUCGUGCCAGCCGCCGCCGUAAGAC